rnacentral:tRNA from 1 species
GUCAAGUUAGUUUAAUUAAAACAUCAGCCUGUGGAUUUGGAAAUGAAAGAUUUGUUUCACUUGACC